CGGGAGGCUGGCGGCUAGGGUUUGGGUUCAGUGUGAUACAAGAUAUUUGUACCCAUCUCGCGUUAAUAUAGACCGUUUAUCGCGUUUGAGCUUGACUAUUUGAUCGUGCCUAAGGAGGAAACGAAUCUAGGUCGUUCAUUGCAUUUGUUCUCGACUGUCCGAUCGCGUUUAACGAAAAAAUGAAUCUGAAUCGUUUAUUGCAAUUUGAUCUUGACCAUCUGAUCGCAUUUAAAGGAGGAACAAAUUCAGGUUGUCCACGCCCGCGGGAUCGAUCCUGGGUCGUUCGAUCGUGGGGCACGCGGAUCGCCCACGUGGCAUCUCGUGUGGCACCUACGUUAGCGUGCCUUGCCAUGGGGUGUACUCUAGUUCAUCGGGGUUACUGACUGAG
rnacentral:lncRNA from 1 species